CAAUGACCAAAUCCAACUAGAUUUUCUGUUUUUCUUAAAACUAUGCAUUUGCUGUUGAGAGCGCUUCUUCUAACUGUGAUAGGAAAUGUUUCAACUGGGCCAGAGUCAGGAGUCUGUUCUAAUGUUUCCUAUGGGGAUCCUUUGACGUGCUGUAUAAAUCAUCGAAUUGUUGAUAGCUCUUGCGAAGAAUGCCCUCCUGGUAGUUUUGGAAUAGACUGUCUGGACAAAUGCCCUCCACAAUUCUAUGGAAGAUUCUGCAGAGAGAAGUGUUCGUGUGAUCUGUGUGAUAAAAUUACUGGAUGUUUGAAAGUUAAAAGUGAGUAAAAUGAUUGCU